GCUGUGAUGAAACACUGAAAUGCCUCCGACCGCUCUGUGGGGAAACCCAGAGGCUGUUUCUGAGCCA
ensembl:snoRNA